GGUUAAGCGACUAAGCGUACACGGUGGAUGCCCUGGCAGUCAGAGGCGAUGAAGGGCGUGCUAAUCUGCGAUAAGCGCCGGUAAGGUGAUAUGAACCGUUAUAACCGGCGAUACCCGAAUGGGGAAACCCAGUGUGAUUCGUCACACUAUCAUUAACUGAAUCCAUAGGUUAAUGAGGCGAACCGGGGGAACUGAAACAUCUAAGUACCCCGAGGAAAAGAAAUCAACCGAGAUUCCCCCAGUAGCGGCGAGCGAACGGGGAGGAGCCCAGAGCCUGAAUCAGCAUGUGUGUUAGUGGAAGCGUCUGGAAAGUCGCGCGAUACAGGGUGACAGCCCCGUACACAAAAGCGCAUGUGUUGUGAGCUCGAUGAGUAGGGCGGGACACGUGGUAUCCUGUCUGAAUAUGGGGGGACCAUCCUCCAAGGCUAAAUACUCCUGACUGACCGAUAGUGAACCAGUACCGUGAGGGAAAGGCGAAAAGAACCCCGGCGAGGGGAGUGAAAAAGAACCUGAAACCGUGUACGUACAAGCAGUGGGAGCACAGGUUUACCUGUGUGACUGCGUACCUUUUGUAUAAUGGGUCAGCGACUUAUAUUCUGUAGCAAGGUUAACCGUAUAGGGGAGCCGGAGGGAAACCGAGUCUUAACCGGGCGUUAAGUUGCAGGGUAUAGACCCGAAACCCGGUGAUCUAGCCAUGGGCAGGUUGAAGGUUGGGUAACACUAACUGGAGGACCGAACCGACUAAUGUUGAAAAAUUAGCGGAUGACCUGUGGCUGGGGGUGAAAGGCCAAUCAAACCGGGAGAUAGCUGGUUCUCCCCGAAAGCUAUUUAGGUAGCGCCUCGUGAAUUCAUCUCCGGGGGUAGAGCACUGUUUCGGCUAGGGGGCCAUCCCGGCUUACCAACCCGAUGCAAACUGCGAAUACCGGAGAAUGCUAUCACGGGAGACACACGGCGGGUGCUAACGUCCGUCGUGAAGAGGGAAACAACCCAGACCGCCAGCUAAGGUCCCAAAGUCAUGGUUAAGUGGGAAACGAUGUGGGAAGGCCCAGACAGCCAGGAUGUUGGCUUAGAAGCAGCCAUCAUUUAAAGAAAGCGUAAUAGCUCACUGGUCGAGUCGGCCUGCGCGGAAGAUGUAACGGGGCUAAACCAUGCACCGAAGCUGCGGCAGCGACACUGUGUGUUGUUGGGUAGGGGAGCGUUCUGUAAGCCUGUGAAGGUGUGUCGUGAGGCAUGCUGGAGGUAUCAGAAGUGCGAAUGCUGACAUAAGUAACGAUAAAGCGGGUGAAAAGCCCGCUCGCCGGAAGACCAAGGGUUCCUGUCCAACGUUAAUCGGGGCAGGGUGAGUCGACCCCUAAGGCGAGGCCGAAAGGCGUAGUCGAUGGGAAACGGGUUAAUAUUCCCGUACUUGGUGUUACUGCGAAGGGGGGACGGAGAAGGCUAUGUUGGCCGGGCGACGGUUGUCCCGGUUUAAGCGUGUAGGUGUGUGUUCCAGGUAAAUCCGGUUCACUUUAACACUGAGGCGUGACGACGAGGCACUACGGUGCUGAAGCAACAAAUGCCCUGCUUCCAGGAAAAGCCUCUAAGCAUCAGGUAACAUCAAAUCGUACCCCAAACCGACACAGGUGGUCAGGUAGAGAAUACCAAGGCGCUUGAGAGAACUCGGGUGAAGGAACUAGGCAAAAUGGUGCCGUAACUUCGGGAGAAGGCACGCUGACACGUAGGUGAAGUGAUUUACUCAUGGAGCUGAAGUCAGUCGAAGAUACCAGCUGGCUGCAACUGUUUAUUAAAAACACAGCACUGUGCAAACACGAAAGUGGACGUAUACGGUGUGACGCCUGCCCGGUGCCGGAAGGUUAAUUGAUGGGGUCAGCGCAAGCGAAGCUCCUGAUCGAAGCCCCGGUAAACGGCGGCCGUAACUAUAACGGUCCUAAGGUAGCGAAAUUCCUUGUCGGGUAAGUUCCGACCUGCACGAAUGGCGUAAUGAUGGCCAGGCUGUCUCCACCCGAGACUCAGUGAAAUUGAACUCGCUGUGAAGAUGCAGUGUACCCGCGGCAAGACGGAAAGACCCCGUGAACCUUUACUAUAGCUUGACACUGAACAUUGAGCCUUGAUGUGUAGGAUAGGUGGGAGGCUUUGAAGCGUGGACGCCAGUCUGCGUGGAGCCGACCUUGAAAUACCACCCUUUAAUGUUUGAUGUUCUAACGUGGACCCGUGAUCCGGGUUGCGGACAGUGUCUGGUGGGUAGUUUGACUGGGGCGGUCUCCUCCUAAAGAGUAACGGAGGAGCACGAA
rnacentral:rRNA from 1 species